rnacentral:tRNA from 1 species
GCCUGGGUGGCUCAGUCGGUUAAGCGCCUGACUUCGGCUCAGGUUAUGAUCUUGCAGGUUUGUGAGUUUGAGCCCCGUGUCAGGCU